rnacentral:tRNA from 1 species
GACACUAUAGUCUAGUGGUUUAGGAUACUCCCCUUCCAUUAAUAGCGUAACUACCAGAAAUGGUAAGUGCCAGGCGAGGGAGUGACACGGGUUCGAAUCCCGUUAGUGUCA